AGUGAACGCUGGCGGUAGGCCUAACACAUGCAAGUCGAACGGCAGCACCGUAAUAGCUUGCUCUUACGGGUGGCGAGUGGCGGACGGGUGAGGAAUACAUCGGAAUCUACUUUUUCGUGGGUGAUAACGUAGGGAAACUUACGCUAAUACAGCAUACGACCUACGGGUGAAAGCAGGGGAUCUUCGGACCUUGCGCGAUUGAAUGAGCCGAUGUCGGAUUAGCUAGUUGGCGGGGUAAAGGCCCACCAAGGCGACGAUCCGUAGCUGGGCUGAGAGGAUGAUGAGCCACAGUGGAACUGAGACACGGUCCAGACUCCUACGGGAGGCAGCAGUGGGGAAUAUUGGACAAUGGGCGCAAGCCUGAUCCAGCCAUACCGCGUGGGUGAAGAAGGCCUUCGGGUUGUAAAGCCCUUUUGUUGGGAAAGAAAAGCAGCAGGUUAAUACCCCGCUGUUCUGACGGUACCCAAAGAAUAAGCACCGGCUAACUUCGUG
rnacentral:rRNA from 1 species